CUGUCCUACGGGGGGCAGCAGUAGGGAAUCUUCCACAAUGGGCGAAAGCCUGAUGGAGCAACGCCGCGUGAGGGAAGACGGUCAUCGGAUUGUAAACCUCUGUCUUUGGGGACGAAAAAGGACGGUACCCAAGGAGGAAGCUCCGGCUAACUACGUGCCAGCAGCCGCGGUAAUACGUAGGGAGCGAGCGUUGUCCGGAAUUACUGGGUGUAAAGGGAGCGUAGGCGGGAUUGCAAGUUGGAUGUGAAAACUGCGGGCUCAACCCGGAGCGUGCAUUCAAAACUGCGAUUCUUGAGUGAAGUAGA
rnacentral:rRNA from 1 species